UGGGGAAUUUUGGACAAUGGGCGCAAGCCUGAUCCAGCAAUGCCGCGUGCAGGAUGAAGGCCUUCGGGUUGUAAACUGCUUUUGUACGGAACGAAAAAGCUCUCCCUAAUACAGGGGGUGAAUGACGGCACCGUAAGAAUAAGCACCGGCUAACUACGUGCCAGCAGCCGCGGUAAUACGUAGGGUGCAAGCGUUAAUCGGAAUUACUGGGCGUAAAGCGUGCGCAGGCGGUUUUGUAAGACAGAGGUGAAAUCCCCGGGCUCAACCUGGUAACUGCCAUUGUGACUGCAAAGCUGGAGAGCGGCAGAGGGGGAUGGAAUUCCGCGUGUAGCAGUGAAAUGCGUAGAUAUGCGGAGGAACACCGAUGGCGAAGGCAAUCCCCUGGGCCUGCACUGACGCUUAUGCACGAAAGCGUGGGGAGCAAACA
rnacentral:rRNA from 1 species